GGCCAGGAGUGGUGGGAGGCAGGGAGCGGACCCCAGAGAACCCCGGGUACAAGACAGGAACCCCGACCUGCCCCCCACCCCGGAGAGGCUGUCCCGCCGUACUCACGGGCAAGAGGGCUCCGGCACCUUCUGGGAGGGGGUUGGGGGGACUCUGGCAAGACGGGGCUCCCGGCCCUGCGGAGAGAGGAGACAGGCAGCUACUCUCCCCGCUGGGCAGGGUCUGCUCCCCGGGCCUCCCCCCAGCGCUCACCUGAGUGGACGCACCCUCCAGCCGCGAGGAGGACGCGGAGCGCUGCAGCCCGGCCCCCGGGGCGCCCUCAGCCCCGCGCCAGUCUGCGGGCCCCAGAGCCCCAGAGCUGCCAGUCUUCUGGAGGCCAAAGCGCCUGGAGAAGGGGGCCUCCUCGGGGGUCUGGAGAAGGGAAAGGUCUCCAUUACCACGACAGGGCCCUUCUUCUCAAGAAUUUCACGUGCUGCCCCAGAAGGCCCACAGCAAACUACCGCCGGGGACGGGAACAGCCAGGGAAAGGCCGCAGGAACCCCAGAGGGUUGUGGGCCCGCGGUCUCCACCCCGCGGCCCUGACAGCAGGCUUGGGGCAACCCCGCCCCACCCCCAGGCCCCCACUCACCACGGGGCUCCCAGGGCUACAGGGCGGUGGGGAGGAGACGCCGUUGAGGGCUCUGCAUUCUGCAGGGGUGGCUCUGUGGGGUGGGACGGAGACCUCAGAAGAAGCAUCAGCCCCUCCUCAUCCCUCAGACCCGGGGUCCAGGCCCCCGCCUCACCUGAGGGGCUUCUUCUCCCUCGUCCUCGUCCCGGAUGGGGUGCCCCGGCCCCAGGGCGCCCUCAGCCCCGCGCCAGUCUGCAGGCCCCAGAGCCCCAGAGCUGCCAGUCUUCUGGAGGCCAAAGCGCCUGGAGAAGGGGGCCUCCUCGGGGGUCUGGAGAAGGGAAAGGUCUCCAUUACCACGACAGGGCCCUUCUUCUCAAGAAUUUCACGUGCUGCCCCCAGAAGGCCCACAGCAAACUACCGCCGGGGACGGGAACAGCCAGGGAAAGGCCGCAGGAACCCCAGAGGGUUGUGGGCCCGCGGUCUCCACCCCGCGGCCCUGACAGCAGGCUUGGGGCAACCGCCCCACCCCAGGCCCCACUCACCACGGGGCUCCCAGGGCUACAGGGCGGUGGGGAGGAGACGCCGUUGA
rnacentral:lncRNA from 1 species